AGGAGACGGAGCUUAUAUAAGCCGCAGUGCAGCGAGCUGACGGUCAAAACGCGCAGGGAGUCAGUGAAUGAAACAUCGCUCACAGUGUCAGAAGAGCUGAAAGAAACUAAGAUAUUAAUUACCCGUGCUGAUUAAGAAGUAUUUUGAAAACAACAUUAGGGAAAACAAAGGCAUUUUUCCCAUCUGACAGAGAAGGGACCUAAUUAUGGCCGAACAAGUAAAUUCUCACUCUGCAAUGGCCGAUGCUCGCCACACCGAUGGCCUCAAUGUGAUCUUUGACCAGAAAAGCCCCGGAUCUUCUUCCCAUUCCCGGUCCCGGUCGAGGAGCAGCAGCAGUUCCAGCAGCCGCAGGAGCCGCUCUUCUGGUUCUGGUCACUACAAGAGACGAGGAAGACGGGACAGAUCUUCAUCUUCAUCUUCCUCCCGUUCAUCCUCGAGGAGCCGGUCCUCGUCUCGGUCCAGGUCUCGGUCUCAUCCCCGCUGCCGCCGACGCUCAUCUCGCUGUCGCUGUGAUGAACACAGAAGAUCUGGCCGGCGCCUCUACCGUCGCUCCCCAUCACGUCGCUACAGAGCCCAUUCCCGCUCCUACAGCCGAUCCCCAACACCAGACGGAUACUACCGCCGUCGCAGAUAUUCAAGAUCCCGCUCCAGGUCUCCGUCCAGGCCUUUUGGUCACUGGAGGAAAUACAGGAGACCUGUGAGCCCGCUCAGAUUCCGAUUCUCUCCGUCCCCAUAUGGAUUCUACAGGGGUCGAUCCAGAUCUAGAUCCAGAUCCAGGAGUCCUGUGCGCUCUGUCAGUUUAAGCCUUGACGAUAAAAGGAAACUGCUUGAAGCUGCUAAGGCUAACGCCAUGAGGAUCCUUGGAGUGGAGAAGAUAGAGCUUCCUGAGAGUGUGAAACCCAUCCUAUCAGAGGAACCAGAGCCCAGACCACUGUCACCAGAACCACUGGUCAGGAGGAGGCAAGGUUCUGAAAGGACUGGACCUCAGAUAACAUGACAGUGGUCUUCACUCAUCAACACCUGGGAUUAAACGGCUGUCAUGUGACUUGGGUGACCAAAAUAUUUGUUUUGCGUGACAGAUCUGUGGAUAUUUGCAACUUUUUAUAUUUGGAGUGACUAGCUAAAGCAACAUGGAUACGGAUUACUUGAAAUGCAUCACAAAAAAACUAAUCACAGCUACCAAUGAACAUUUUUGUUCAUCUACAUUAAAUUAAGAUUGUUUCUCGACUUUUUGUUUGUUUUGAUGGCUACAUUUUUGACAAAAUGACAUGGGUUUUUUAACAGAUCUGCACUCUUUGUCGGAGCGCGGGUGUCUGGACCACAUUAUAGUAAGAGAACCUGUCAAACUAAAGACAGGAGCAGCUCUUCAUUUGCUGAAGAUAAGUUGACAUAAAAGCUGAACGCUUUCAAAGCUAGGAGGGUUGUACUAAUAUAGUCUGGAAACUUCCUUUUGCUAGUCAUUUAUUAAAACGGGCAUCAAGUGGUGAGGAGCAUUUGCUUAAAUAUAUGCAGUAAUAUUCUUUCUGACCGAUCAAUUAAUUCAUUUUAUUUAUUUUUUUAAAUUAGGACAGAGACGUUGAGCCUGGCGUGUCCAACCCCAUGAUGUCUCCAAAAAGACACAUUGCUUUCAGCACAAAUAAUUCUGUGGCCAAACCAACUGCAGCAGCUCCAUCUCCUGCUAAGCUAACGUCGGGAGUGGACAGCUAUGAAAGCAGGAAGCCCUACGGCAGCUGGAUUCCAAUCGGUUCGGGCCAAAGUGCACGCAAAUGAGCUUAGAGCCACAGAGUGGUUAUAUAGACUGUGUAAAUGUUGUAAAUAGUUUAUAUAAAAAGAAUGGUGCAUCACUCCGUGGUCAUUUUCUUUCUUUCAGAUGUGAAAACUUUAUAUGUGAAGAUUUGAAGAACUCGUAUCAGGUGGGAUUAUUUAUAUAGCGCAUUGUAAAUUUAUAGAUGUAAAUAAAGUUUUGUUGAACUGA